AUGGGCGCAACGGGCCCGAGGGACGCGGAGUGGGGGAGGAUGCGCGGCGCGGAGCUGAGCGCCCGCGGAAGGCAGAGCGCGGGCGGAAAGCCGCAACAGACCCCAACCAAAAGAGCGAGGAGCAGGAGGCAGGCAGCAGGGUUUAGUGAAAAGCAGCAGCACACACAGCAGAUUGCUUCAAACCGCCACCAAACGCACCUCCUCCGGGAGAAAAGCCACCCUCUGCCUGUUCCUGGAGACUCAGCAAAGUUUCCAAGCAGUGGAAGCAGCACCGUGCCAGGAGCUCCUUCAGAGUUUCCUUUACAAGUGCCAGUUUGCACAGGCUUUUGUGAUUGA